UUGGAGGGCAAGUCUGGUGCCAGCAGCCGCGGUAAUUCCAGCUCCAAUAGCGUAUAUUAAAGUUGUUGCAGUUAAAAAGCUCGUAGUUGAAUUUCGGGGUUAGUAGGUUGGUCAUGCCUCCGGUAUGUACUGGUCUCACUGAUUCCUCCUUCCUGAUGAACCGUAAUGCCAUUAAUUUGGUGUUGCGGGGAAUUUGGACUGUUACUUUGAAAAAAUUAGAGUGUUUAAAGCAAGCUAACGCUUGAAUACAUUAGCAUGGAAUAAUGAAAUAGGACGUUCGAUCCUAUUUUGUUGGUUUCUAGGAUUGACGUAAUGAUUAAUAGGGAUAGUUGGGGGCAUUAGUAUUCAAUUGUCAGAGGUGAAAUACUUGGAUUUAUUGAAGACUAACUACUGCGAAAGCAUUUGCCAAGGAUGUUUUCAUUAAUCAAGAACGAAAGUUAGGGGAUCGAAGACGAUCAGAUACCGUCGUAGUCUUAACCAUAAACUAUGCCGACUAGGGAUCGGAUGAUGUUAAUUUUUUAAUGACUCAUUCGGCGCCUUACGGGAAAC
rnacentral:rRNA from 1 species